rnacentral:rRNA from 1 species
UAGCCGCGGUAAUACCCCGCUCCCCCGAGUGGUGGGGAUAAUUAUUGGGCUUAAAGCGUCCGUAGCCGGCCUAGUAAGUCUCCUGUUAAAAUCCAGCGGCCUAAACCGUUGGACUGCGGGAGAUACUACUAGGCUAGGGGGGCGGGAGAGGCCGGCGGUAUUCCCGGGGUAGGGGUGAAAUCCUAUAAUCCCGGGAGGACCACCAGUGGCGAAGGC